rnacentral:rRNA from 1 species
ACAUGCCUACAACAUAGCAUUAAUGCAUCGGAUCCCAUUAGAACUCUGCAUUUAAGUGUGCUCAUGCUAGAGUAGUACUGGGAUGGGUGACCACCUGGUAAGUCCUAGUGUUUUACAUUUC